rnacentral:rRNA from 1 species
GAUGAACGCUGGCGGCGUGCCUAAUACAUGCAAGUCGAGCGAACAGACGAGGAGCUUGCUCCUCUGACGUUAGCGGCGGACGGGUGAGUAACACGUGGAUAACCUACCUAUAAGACUGGGAUAACUUCGGGAAACCGGAGCUAAUACCGGAUAAUAUAUUGAACCGCAUGGUUCAAUAGUGAAAGACGGUUUUGCUGUCACUUAUAGAUGGAUCCGCGCCGCAUUAGCUAGUUGGUAGGGUAACGGCUUACCAAGGCGACGAUGCGUAGCCGACCUGAGAGGGUGAUCGGCCACACUGGAACUGAGACACGGUCCAGACUCCUACGGGAGGCAGCAGUAGGGAAUCUUCCGCAAUGGGCGAAAGCCUGACGGAGCAACGCCGCGUGAGUGAUGAAGGUCUUCGGAUCGUAAAACUCUGUAAUUAGGGAAGAACAAAUGUGUAAGUAACUAUGCACGUCUUGACGGUACCUAAUCAGAAAGCCACGGCUAACUACGUG